rnacentral:rRNA from 1 species
AAAAACAUGUCCUUUAGAAUUUAAUUUAAGGUCUAACCUGCCCACUGAUUUAAAUGGCCGCAGUAUUUUAACUGUGCAAAGGUAGCAUAAUCAUUAGUCUUUUAAUUGAAGGCUUGUAUGAAUGGUUGGACGAAAUAUUAACUGUUUCAUAAAAAUUUAUUUAGAAUUUUAUUUUUUAGUUAAAAAGCUAAAAUUUUUUUAAAAGACGAGAAGACCCUAUAGAUCUUUAUAGUUUAUUUGUUAUAGUUAUAUAGAUGAUUUAAAUUAUGAUUUUAUAUACUAUUUUGUUGGGGUGACAUUAAAAUUUAAUAAACUUUUAAUAAAUUUUUACAUUAAUUUAUGAGUAAUUGAUCCAUUAUUAGUGAUUAUAAAAUUAAGUUACCUUAGGGAUAACAGCGUAAUUUUUUUGAAGAGUUCAUAUCGAUAAAAAAGAUUGCGACCUCGAUGUUGGAUUAAGAUAUAAUUUUGGGUGCAGCAAUUCAAUAAUUAAGUCUGUUCGACUUUUAAUUUCUUACAUGA